UAUGAACGGUUUUUGAAAUAUAAAAUAUGUGUGAGAGAACUGAAUGUUGCUCUUAGGCUAACCCAGGUGUUAGAUUAUUGUUGCCCAUAAGCUAAAUCAGGCAUUAGAUGCAUCGUUAUCAUGGGACUAGUUUCCCUAUCGGCAUCUCCAUCUGUAUAUCUAAUACCCCUUCACUUAUUUCCCUUUUUCAAAAUGUUGUAUUUUCCCCAAAAUUAGUCAGAGGCAGCUAAUUUUGUAAAAUGGCAUUAGUGGUUAAGGAAAUAAGGUGAAGUUGAAAUGUAAUUUGAACUUUUGAAUUUUUAAUUAUAAAGUGUUCAGUCCAAUAAUAUGUAAAGUUACAAAGUGUAUAGUUCUUCUAAAGCAGAAAAUAAUAUAUUUGUCACUGUUGAAUAACCACUGCAUCCUCUUUGCAUGAAGUAACAGUUUAGAGAAUGCUAGGUUAGGUUUCUAGGCAAGUUUGAGCCACAUAAUGUUUAUGUUCUCAUGAACUCACUUCUGUGAACUCUAUUACUAUUCUCCUUCCUAGUUCAUCAGUACCACUACACUUAAUUUUGAAUGUAACAGUUAACUGUAGUUUACUGUUUCAUAAAGAAAAUCUGAAUUGUGACUAGUUUUCUCUAUUUACAUAAAACAAGUCAAUUUCAUAACGUAUAAUUAACCCAAAAGCUAAAACUGUGGUUAGUGUUAAGCAGAAGUUUUCAAAAUUCUCACUCAAUUAAAGUGUGAAAGGAGAGGAGACAGAGACACAUACGAAUAUAAAGGUUACGUAGAUUCAUUCUCAUAACAUAAUCAAUUUCUUAGUAUUAUAUCUGAACUUGCUUGUUCAGCAGGAUGAUUGUUUAUAAAGCUAUUGUUCUUCCAACUCUGUUGUAUGCCUGCAAAAUGAUUCUAUCAAUGUUGCCUCCAAAAAAUUCCUGCAAAUCUCUUGAGAAGACAGGCAGACAAACGUCAGCAUUCUGAAAGCAGCGAAGACCACUAACAGUGAAGUGAUGAUCCUCUGCCAUCAACUUUGCUGGAUUGGCCAUGUUGUCCAAAUGCCCGAUUGCCAUCUUCCAAAGCAGUUCCUUUACUCUCAGCUCAAGACUGGAAAAAAAACAUUGGUGGACAGCAAAAGAGAUUUAAAGAUUGGUUUAAAGCUAACUUUAAAAAAAUAUGGCAUAAACACCUAGAACUGGGAAGCCCUGGCUCUUGAGCAUUCUAACUGGAGGUCACUUGUUACCAAGAGUACUAUGAAUUUUGAAGAGGCACAAACAGAGGGUAAAAGGGCAAAACAUGCCAAGAGAAAGGCGCAUCAAGCAAACCCUUGUCAGGACUGCCUUCCAUCUGGAAAUCAGUGUCCUCAUUGUGAUAGACCAUUCUAAUCCAAAAUCGGUCUCUACAGUCACUUAUGGACCCAUUGCCAAGACUCUACUUCUGGAAGACAAUCAUAGCCUAUGAUGAUGAUGAUUAUGAUGAUGAUCUGAACUUGGCUAUCAUGAAUUUGACAGCAUGCUUAAUAACUUACCUGGAGGGUUAAAGAAAAAGGGCAUAUGCACACUUUACUACCUAUGGACCCCAGUGGACAAAGACCUGGCCUGGUUCUGAACUUGGAUCUAUGAACUCUUCAGGUAGCCUUGGAUGCAGUUUACUCUGUGUAUCAAUUAAUCAUACUAUAAAUUGAGUAAAAGUGGCAAAUCCCACACCGUAGCAUUGGGAAGGGGUGAGAGUCAGAAAAUAGUCUUUAUCAACAAGAACCCUAUAGAUCUUCAGAGAAUAAAUGUAAAACUAGCACUGAUAUUUUCCUCAUUCCAAAAGCAGUGGCUAUUUCACCCUGCCUCUCCAAGGUCAAGAAAAAGAAAUAAUGAUGCAGCUUAAAUGUUGUAGCUGCUGUUUUCGUUCUGGUAUUUGUUUUGUUUUUUUUUUGCACGUUCCAGCUUUUGAGAGUUGACAGGCAUGCAGAUGCUCAUCCAUUCUUUAUUCACACAGCUGCUAUAAAUAAUUUUUCAUAUUAACAGCCAUUGUGUUUAACUUUCAUUUGACGUUUUCUGUCCUAUAGUUAAAUGUUUCCCACUAAGCUUUUAGUGAAGCAAGUCCCUGAACAGGGAAUCAUCAUCAAUUUUUACUAUUUGGGAGUUUUUCUUUUUCCCUCAAAUGCAUUAGAUUUUACUGUUGCUAUGUAUCUUCAUAAGAAAUGUGUGGCAUUGGGUGAAGGGGUGGGGACAUUUUGAAUGCAGCUUAGAAGACUGCAAACUAAAAUGCAGGAAAAUGCAAAAUAAUGUUCCACUGAAAGGGUGGUGUCAGUAUCUCAAGGCUAGACUAAAAAGUUAAGACAUUUCAAAGAGACUGAUAGAAUUCAUGAAAAUAGGAGAAGAAUCAUUACAGUUACCAUUGGUUCACUUGGUUCCCUCUUCCCACUUCCUGAAGAGUCUCCAGCAAUUUGAGUCAACAUUGGAUGGCAAAGUUCUAGACAUUUCGCCUACAACUUUAGUGGCCCAAAACGACUGUGAUCAAGCCUCUAACAAUGCUUUGGAGGUUGUUCCCCCUUUUUUUUAGAGCAUCAGCAUCCUCCAUACAUUCAAUGCCAUUGCUCCAGUCAUUUAACAUCGGAUGACUAUUCUCCCUACCACUAUCACUCCUAUCAUGGGCGUCAUUGGUCCCAACUUAUCUUGACCCUGUUGUGGGAUUUGCACUCUUGUGUGUCGAGACUGUUGGAUUACGGUUGUAUGUGUAUGAAAUGUAUGUUAUGAUUGAGCCUCAUGGCUCUGCUACUGGCAGACGUGGGCGUAAGACUCCUCGAGAGUCAGAUACUCUCGAGGAGCGAGAAAGAAAGAGGCUGCGAGAUAUCUUUGCAGAACCAUCUGACGAGGAUUCUUUUGAGGGGUUUACGGAGAGAAUGGAGGAAGAGCUGGUUAGCUCGGAAGAGGAUGAGAUGGAUUGGACUCGGCUUUGACCUUCCGUCGUCUUCUUGACGGACGCCAUCUGCUACUCUGGAUUUACGGACUGAACUGACUACGGGCUCGGAUUCUCCUACCUGGACUUGGUGAACUACAAACGUCUGCUUCUGCCUAUCGACCUUCGGAAAGAACUGGGACUACGCUACUGCUUCAAUCCUCGGCUGUUGUGUUUGUAUUGGGAAUUUGCCUGCUGUGUGGAGGAGUAACUUCUAAGUUACUCAAAACAUAGUGCUGGCAGCAGAGAGGCAUCUGCUGCCAAUUAGUUACAUUCUUUUGAACUCUUUGUUCCCCAGCUUCUGUUUUGUUUAUUCCCAGGCUGAAGCAAGCUGUUUUGAUUUUACCCGGAUUAAACUCCGGUUUAAUCCGGUUUAUCUUUUGAACGUUUUUCUUGCCCCUUUUUGCUUUUUAAGGCUAAUGUUGCCUAGCCCUUGUCUUUUACGGGCAUUUUGAGUUCUGUAAAUCCAAUAAACUCUGUUAUCUUUGA